ensembl:lncRNA
CUUUGCCAUGUGUACUGACAUGCUGAUUUAUUAGUAAAACUUAGGGGUGCUCAGGAGAACUGAGUGAGGUAUGCUGUGUUGCUAUUUUGAGUUGUUAGGAAGGCUGCAAUGUGCACCCAGAGACUUUACCAGGGUUGCUCAGAAAGUGCAACUGGGGAGCAUGAAUUAAGAAAAUGUAGACAGCGAGCAAGCUGAGGAAAAGAGCUCCAGCAGAGUGAAGCCCUGAUUAGAACCACAGCGUGUCAUUUGAUCUUCAGAUGGCUAUAAAAGGUCUGUGUGAGUGGCCAUACUGCUCCUGUCCCAAAUGGAUGGUCAUGCAUGCUGCACAUCACCAUGCUUCUGGCAUGACUUCAGCAAAACUGGUCAGAGCUCCUUCCAGAGCUAAAACAACACAAGAUCAAGCUCUGGAUGGGAGUACAUGUUUUCACAGAAGACCAAGAGUACAGUGCAAAAGAAAAGACAUCAGUGCCUAGGGUAUGGAAUUAGGAGUGUCCACUCUAUCUUUCUAUUUACUGAUCAUCAUUGUUCCUGUAGAGGAUGUCUUCCUUCAGGUCUUACUUCGGUCCUUCUCCUCAGCAUGCUUACAAAGACAUUCUAAUUUCAGUUGUGCUACUUUAUGCCAGGAGUGUGAAAAUUUUGAUGCUGUCCCCUUC